GAUCAUGGCUCAGGAUGAACGCUAGCGACAGGCUUAACACAUGCAAGUCGAGGGGCAGCGGGGUGUAGCAAUACACCGCCGGCGACCGGCGCACGGGUGAGUAACGCGUAUCCAACCUGCCCACCACUUGGGGAUAACCUUGCGAAAGUAAGACUAAUACCCAAUGAUAUCUCUAGAAGACAUCUGAAAGAGAUUAAAGAUUCAUCGGUGAUGGAUGGGGAUGCGU
rnacentral:rRNA from 1 species